rnacentral:rRNA from 1 species
UACGGAGGGUGCAAGCGUUAAUCGGAAUUACUGGGCGUAAGCGUGACGUAGGCGGUUCGUUAAGUCUGUUGUGAAAGCCCCGGGCUCAACCUGGGAACUGGCAAUGGAUACUGGCGAGCUAGAGUGUGUCAGAGGAUGGUGGAAUUCCCGGUGUAGCGGUGAAAUGCGUAGAGAUCGGGAGGAACAUCAGUGGCGAAGGCGGCCAU